GACGAACGCUGGCGGCGGGCUUAACACAUGCAAGUCGAACGGAAAGGCCCUGCUUGUGUGUGGUGCUCGAGUGGCGAAGGGGUGAGUAACAUGUGAGUAACCUGGCCUGGACGGGGGGAUAACUGCAGGAGACUGGUGCUAAUACCGGAGAGGAGCGCCUGCUGGAGGGGGGGGGUUGGAAAGUUUAGGCGGUUGGGGAUUUACUUGCGGGUUAUUAGCUUGUGGGUUGGGGAGUGGCUUACCAAGGCUUUGGCGGGUGGCCGGCAUGAGAGGGUGAACGGCCACAUUGGGACUGAGGUACGGCCCAGUCUGCUACGGGAGGCAGCAGUGGGGAAUCUUGCCCAAUGGGCGGAAGCCUGAUGAGGCAACGCCGCGUGCGGGAUGAAGGCCUUCGGGUUGUAAACCGCUUUCGCCUGUGACGAAGCGUGAGUGACGGUAAUGGGUAAAGAAGCACCGGCUAACUACGUG
rnacentral:rRNA from 1 species